ensembl:lncRNA
UACUUAUCUCACUGCAGAGUGGAUGAAAGUCACACUGACUAGACUGAGGAACAGAGACACAUUAUAAGAAGAGUUCAUGAAAUGUACUACCGUGUUUCUACUGAUGAUAAUAGGCCUGACAGGUGGAAACUUUAAGAUUGUUAGAAGAAAACCUUAAUAUUGUUAUAAUGUGUAUUUUUGAAUCCAGCUAAAAACUCUAAUGUUACUCUCCUUCAACAGGUGUUCAGAGUCAGACAUUGACUGAGUCUGGAGAAUCCCACCACCUGACAUGUACAGCCUCUGGUUAAGACAUAAAUGCCUGCUACAUGACUUGGAUCAGACAGGCUCCUGGGAAAGGACUGGAGUGGAUUGCAGCUAUUACUGGCAGUGAUGGUGACAGCACUUACUACCCCCAGUCUGUUCAGGGUGUGUUCUGUCAGACUGAGCUCACACAGCCAGGCUCUAUGACCCUGCAGCCUGGACAUCCUCUGACCCUCUCCUGUAAGGUCUCUGGGUAUUCAGUAACCAGCACCAGCUACUGUACAGGUUGGGUACGACAGCCUGCAGGAAAAGCACUGGAGUGGGUUGGAGAAAUUUCAAAAAGAUUUGAUCUUGCAACCAUUUCGCUGUUCAGGGGCAGUCACUCACCUCCUCUGAGCCAAUGGGAAAGAGACCUGGAGAGUCAGUAACACUGUCCUGUACAGCUUCUGGAAUCUCCAUGGGUAGGUACUGGAUGCAAUGGCUCCAUCAGAAAAAGACAAGAGUAGAUUGGGAAAGGACAAGAGUGGAUUGGGCAAAUUGAUUGGGGCACUGGCACUAUACUUGCCCAGUCUCUUCGGGGAAGUUCACCAUAACCAAACAUAGCUCCAAAAACCAGCUGUGUUUCAAGGUGAAAAGCCUGAAGACUGAAGACUGUUGAGUGUUAUUAUAGUGACACACGAUGCUGCAGUGCCAUACACAAACUGAUUAACACUGAUCUCAGUGUGUGGCAAAAAGGUAUGUCUGUUCUUUGAUGUUAGGGAGGCUGCGAAUUUUCGCAGCUUUUUGUUAAAAAUCGCGCAAGAUUUCAACGUCCUGCUACUCAUGCAAGGAAUAUAGUAAAUGCAUAUGAUUAGUAUGUGUGGAUAGAAAACACUCUGAAGUCUCUAAAACUGGUUAAAUCAUGUCUGUGGCUAUAACAGAACGUGUUUAGGAGACAAAAUCGCAAGGAAAACUGUUCACCAAAAACACACAAAAAAUAUCCAUCCGCCAGUCUCUGUAUUGUCUAUGGCAAGGGAAAAUAGAUAGAGCCCCGUUUACAAUGCCUACCGCUUUCGCACAAUUUUGCCAGUACUGGCAAUUCAGUUGUAGUUUAUCCUUGGUGGGAUGACGAAUAGGCACUUCCUGUCUUGGGGUCCACCGAAGGAAGUUAUGAAAGGGAGAAUAUGGACGAUGAUUUCAAGACUUGCUGCUAUCGAAUACAGAUCGCCCCGUGAUCAAUUUGAUCGAUUAUUAACGUUUAUUAAUACCUAAAGAUGGUUUACAAAGGUAGUUUGAAGUGUUUUGUCAAAGUUUAUAGGCAACUUUUUUAAUUUAAAAAAACGCUGUUGCGUUUUAGAAAGGUGCUUUUUUCCUGGAUCAGACGGGCUUCAUAAAUGGACAUUUUGGGUAUACAUGGACGGAUUUAAUCCAAAAAAAAGACCCAAUUGUGAUGUUUAUGGGACAUAUAGGAGUGCCAACAAAGAAGCUCGUCAAAGGUAAUGAAUGUUUUAUAUUUUAUUUCUGCGUUUUGUGUAGCGCCGGCUACGCUAAUUAUUUCUGUUUACGUCCCAUUUGGUUAUUUCGGGGGUUGCAUGCUAUCAGAUAAUAGCUUCUCAUGCUUUCGCCGAAAAGCAUUUUACAAAUCCGACAUGUUGGCUAGAUUCACAACGAGUGUAGCUUUAAUUGAGUACCCUGCAUGUGUGUUUUAAUUAAAGUUUGAGUUGUAUCGAGGACUAUUAGUUGGCGCUCUGAAAUUUCCACUGAUUUGGUCCCUGUACAGGGACAGCAGCUGUAAAAGGUUUUAAACACACAUACUCAACAGUAGUGAAAAAAAACACUGAUAUCAAUAUUAUCCCUAUAAACGAAUCCUGACUGUCUGUAGUUUAAUACUUAUGGCUGUGUUCAUACAAGGUGUGUUCAUACAAGGUGUGUUCAUAUGUGAGUCUGUUGUGUCCACUACAAUCACUCUCAGACAAUAGGCUUUUAAAAUAGUUUUAAUUGUGACUUUAACUAACAAACUACAGAAUUAUGACCUACAGAUUAAAGCGACUGGAUGUGUUCGAACUU